rnacentral:rRNA from 1 species
AUGCACAUGUUUUUUAGGCGUGCAGGCCCGGGCCCCGCGCGUCGCCAUCGCCCGCUCCCGGUUGCCUGGCCCACCCUAGCCUGGUCGUCUCCCCAUGCUGGCACGGGCCACGUGACCUGGACGGCGAGCAAGAGGGCGACGGCCUACCAGUCCCCAAGCGACGCCGGCCCAAGUGGCGCAGAAGUUGGCCUUGGCCGACCAGUCCCGCGCACACGCCCAGGCCACACCCGCAGCUCGUAUAUCGCCGCGAGGUCAUACUGCGGGAGCGGCAACUGCGCCCCAUGUGGAUCUCAUGCCGUCGAGGACCAGCAGGGCCAGUGGCGUGCUGUCUGUGCGCCCUGGUGGAUCUUGUGCCGUCGAGGACCAGCGGGUGGCUUUUACAAAAAAAAUAAAGACUAG